rnacentral:rRNA from 1 species
CCUACGGGUGGCAGCAGUGAGGAAUAUUGGUCAAUGGCCGGAAGGCUGAACCAGCCAAGCCGCGUGAAGGACGAAGGUGCCAAGCAUUGUAAACUUCUUUUGUCAAGGGACAAAAUCAGGCUCGAGAGCCUGACCGAGGGUACUUGAUGAAAAAGCAUCGGCUAACUCCGUGCCAGCAGCCGCGGUAAUACGGAGGAUGCGAGCGUUAUCCGGAUUUAUUGGGUUAAAGGGGGGCGUGGGUGGACUGUUAAGUCAGCGGGAAAAGCCGGGGGCUCAACCCCGGCGAGCCGUUGAUACGGGCUGUCUUGAGAUGUCGAGAGGUAGGCGGAAUGCGCAGUGUAGCGGUGAAAUGCUUAGAUAUUGCGCAGAACUCCGAUUGCGAAGGCAGCAUACCGGCGGCGAUCUGACGCUGAGGCACGAAAGCGUGGGUAUCGAACAGGAUUAGAUACCCUUGUAGUC